UACGGGGGGAGCAAGCGUUGUUCGGAUUUACUGGGCGUAAAGGGUGCGUAGGCGGUCAGCACAAGUCAGUUGUGAAAUCUCCGGGCUUAACUCGGAAAGGUCAACUGAUACUGUGCGACUAGAGUGCGGAAGGGGCAACUGGAAUUCUCGGUGUAGCGGUGAAAUGCGUAGAUAUCGAGAGGAACACCUGCGGCGAAGGCGGGUUGCUGGGCCGACACUGACGCUGAUGCGCGAAAGCCAGGGGAGCGAACGGG
rnacentral:rRNA from 1 species